ACGGGAGGCAGCAGUAGGGAAUCUUCCGCAAUGGACGAAAGUCUGACGGAGCAACGCCGCGUGAGUGAUGAAGGUUUUCGGAUCGUAAAGCUCUGUUGUUAGGGAAGAACAAGUGCCGUUCAAAUAGGGCGGCACCUUGACGGUACCUAACCAGAAAGCCACGGCUAACUACGUGCCAGCAGCCGCGGUAAUACGUAGGUGGCAAGCGUUGUCCGGAAUUAUUGGGCGUAAAGGGCUCGCAGGCGGUUUCUUAAGUCUGAUGUGAAAGCCCCCGGCUCAACCGGGGAGGGUCAUUGGAAACUGGGGAACUUGAGUGCAGAAGAGGAGAGUGGAAUUCCACGUGUAGCGGUGAAAUGCGUAGAGAUGUGGAGGAACACCAGUGGCGAAGGCGACUCUCUGGUCUGUAACUGACGCUGAGGAGCGAAAGCGUGGGGAGCGAACAGGAUUAGAUACCCUGGUAGUCCACGCCGUAAACGAUGAGUGCUAAGUGUUAGGGGGUUUCCGCCCCUUAGUGCUGCAGCUAACGCAUUAAGCACUC
rnacentral:rRNA from 2 species